rnacentral:rRNA from 1 species
AUUGAACGCUGGCGGCAUGCUUUACACAUGCAAGUCGAACGGCAGCGCGGGGCAACCUGGCGGCGAGUGGCGAACGGGUGAGUAAUACAUCGGAACGUACCCAGAAGUGGGGGAUAACGUAGCGAAAGUUACGCUAAUACCGCAUACGUUCUACGGAAGAAAGUGGGGGAUCUUCGGACCUCAUGCUUUUGGAGCGGCCGAUGUCUGAUUAGCUAGUUGGUGAGGUAAAGGCUCACCAAGGCGACGAUCAGUAGCUGGUCUGAGAGGACGACCAGCCACACUGGGACUGAGACACGGCCCAGACUCCUACGGGAGGCAGCAGUGGGGAAUUGUGGACAAUGGGCGCAAGCCUGAUCCAGCAAUGCCGCGUGAGUGAAGAAGGCCUUCGGGUUGUAAAGCUCUUUUGUCAGGGAAGAAACGGCUGGGGUUAAUACCCCUGGCUAAUGACGGUUCCUGAAGAAUAAGCACCGGCUAACUACGUGCCAGCCGCCGCAGUAA